GUGUACGCUGCUGAAAAAGUUUCAGUCUCCUGUGGGGCUUUCCAUACGAGUUGUUUUUCUUGCUAUUGUUGUCACAAGCUAUUGGACGUCAAAAAUGUAUAUGAAAAUUGUGGAGAAAUAUAUUGCAAAAGUUGCUACAAUAACUUUUUCGGAAUUUCCUAUUAUGGAUAUGGUCCAUCCCAAUACUUUUGAAAGCAUGUUCAUUUUUACUUUAUUUUUGUCAUAAUAUCAAAUAAAAAAUCCCAAGGA